rnacentral:rRNA from 1 species
AGCGAACGCUGGCGGCAGGCCUAACACAUGCAAGUUGAACGGACCCUUCGGGGUUAGUGGCGGACGGGUGAGUAACACGUGGGAACGUGCCUUUAGGUUCGGAAUAGCUCCUGGAAACGGGUGGUAAUGCCGAAUGUGCCCUUCGGGGGAAAGAUUUAUCGCCUUUAGAGCGGCCCGCGUCUGAUUAGCUAGUUGGUGAGGUAAUGGCUCACCAAGGCGACGAUCAGUAGCUGGUCUGAGAGGAUGACCAGCCACAUUGGGACUGAGACACGGCCCAAACUCCUACGGGAGGCAGCAGUGGGGAAUCUUGCGCAAUGGGCGAAAGCCUGACGCAGCCAUGCCGCGUGGAUGAUGAAGGCCUUAGGAUUGUAAAAUCCUUUCACCGGUGAAGAUAAUGACUGUAGCCGGAGAAGAAGCCCCGGCUAACUUCGUGCCAGCAGCCGCCGUAA